UACGGAGGGGGCUAGCGUUGUUCGGAAUUACUGGGCGUAAAGGGCGUGUAGGCGGUCAAGUAAGUUAGGUGUGAAAGCCCUGGGCUUAACCCAGGAACUGCAUCUAAUACUGCUUGACUAGAGAUCGGUAGGGGGAAAUGGAAUUCCUAGUGUAGAGGUGAAAUUCGUAGAUAUUAGGAGGAACACCGGAGGCGAAGGCAGUUUCCUGGGCCGCAUCUGACGCUAAGGCGCGAAAGCGUGGGGAGCAAAAAGG
rnacentral:rRNA from 1 species